rfam:Dipodomys ordii contig_6606, whole genome shotgun sequence.
UGGCUCAAUGGUAGAGUGCUUGCCUUGCAUGCAUGAGGCCCUGGGUUCGAUUCCUCAG